rnacentral:rRNA from 1 species
UACGGAGGAUGCAAGCGUUAUCCGGAUUUAUUGGGUUUAAAGGGUGCGCAGGUUGUUUGAUAAGUCAGUGGUGAAAGUCUGUCGCUUAACGGUAGGAUUGCCAUUGAUACUGUUAGACUUGAAUAUGGAUGAGGUAGGCGGAAUGUGUAGUGUAGCGGUGAAAUGCAUAGAUAUUACACAGAACACCGAUUGCGAAGGCAGCUUGCUAAUCCAUCAUUGACGCUGAGGCACGAAAGCGUGGGGAUCAAA